GGUUAAGCGACUAAGCGUACACGGUGGAUGCCCUGGCAGUCAGAGGCGAUGAAGGACGUGCUAAUCUGCGAUAAGCGUCGGUAAGGUGAUAUGAACCGUUAUAACCGGCGAUUUCCGAAUGGGGAAACCCAGUGUGUUUCGACACACUAUCAUUAACUGAAUCCAUAGGUUAAUGAGGCGAACCGGGGGAACUGAAACAUCUAAGUACCCCGAGGAAAAGAAAUCAACCGAGAUUCCCCCAGUAGCGGCGAGCGAACGGGGAGCAGCCCAGAGCCUGAAUCAGUGUGUGUGUUAGUGGAAGCGUCUGGAAAGGCGCGCGAUACAGGGUGACAGCCCCGUACACAAAAAUGCACAUACUGUGAGCUCGAUGAGUAGGGCGGGACACGUGGUAUCCUGUCUGAAUAUGGGGGGACCAUCCUCCAAGGCUAAAUACUCCUGACUGACCGAUAGUGAACCAGUACCGUGAGGGAAAGGCGAAAAGAACCCCGGCGAGGGGAGUGAAAAAGAACCUGAAACCGUGUACGUACAAGCAGUGGGAGCCUCUUUUAUGG
rnacentral:rRNA from 1 species